UACAGAGGGUCUCAAGCGGUUGUUCGGAUUCAUUUGGGCGUAAAGGGUGUGUAGGUGGCGCGCUAAGUCGGGUGUGAAAUUUCGGAGCUUAAACUCCGAACUGCAUUCGAUACUGGCGUGCUUGAGGACUGGAGAGGAGUACUGGAAUUCAUGGUGAGCAGUGAAAUGCGUAGAGAUCAAUGAGGAAGACCAGUGGCGAAGGCGGGUCUCGUGGACAGUUCCUGACACUGAGACACGAAGGCCAGGGGAGCAAAACGGG
rnacentral:rRNA from 1 species